CCUACGGGAGGCAGCAGUCGAGAAUCAUUCACAAUGGGGGAAACCCUGAUGGUGCGACGCCGCGUGGGGGAAUGAAGGUCUUCGGAUUGUAAACCCCUGUUAUGUGGGAGCAAAUUAAAAAGAUAGUACCACAAGAGGAAGAGACGGCUAACUCUGUGCCAGCAGCCGCGGUAAUACAGAGGUCUCAAGCGUUGUUCGGAAUCACUGGGCGUAAAGCGUUCGUAGGCUGUUUCGUAAGUCGUGUGUGAAAGGCCCGGGCUCAACCCGCGGACGGCACAUGAUACUGCGAGACUAGAGUAAUGGAGGGGGAACCGGAAUUCUCGGUGUAGCAGUGAAAUGCGUAGAUAUCGAGAGGAACACUCGUGGCGAAGGCGGGUUCCUGGACAUUAACUGACGCUGAGGCACGAAGGCCAGGGGAGCGAAAGGGAUUAGAUACCCCAGUAGUC
rnacentral:rRNA from 1 species